UGGAAUUACAGGCGUGAGCCACCGUGUCUGGACCCCAAAAGCAGUUUUUGCUAAAGCAAAACAAACUUCCUUGAUUCAGACGAUCAACUCUACCAUAUUCAUCCGUUAUUCUCACCUAUCGUCAAACAUUUCACAAAAGCUGUGGUAUAGACCAUCAGCUUAACGCAGUAUGUAAUCAGAUAGAUAAGUUAACACACACAUAAGGAGAAAAGUCGUUCUCACACGAGGUCUUCCAUGCAAUGUAGAAAUUCUUUAGCUUUCUCAGGUAAAAAAUAUUGCUGAGAACAGAAAGUUCUGGAAGGCAGUUCAUAGAGCCCUCAGGCCGAUCAUUACUUGGAUAGCAAUUUUCUCAGGUGUGGAUAAUUAGCUGUAGCUGAAAAGGCAAAAGUAUGUCCCCCAGCAAGCAGGAACAAACCUAGCAUUCGUCUUAAUUUGCAAAAGGUUUCUAAUAGCAGCAUUUUUAAUUGCCAGACCAAAUAUCUAGCAGCUGCCACCAGCCCAGGUCCUGAGGCUGGAAUGCAGCCUGACUAUUAAUUUACUGAAAGCCUGGCAAAACAAAGUUGUAUGCUGGUUUCUCCAGAAAAGUCUCCUCUUUCAAUAACAGAUCUUCCUCGGGCUUCCUAACCUCUUCCCAGGGUCUCAGUGAAGACAGAAGAAACAAAAGCGUCACUGUGGAUCCCAUCACAGCAUUGUCGAGAGACCUAUCACUGCCUGCCACCAGAGAGCCAAAGCUUCAUCUUGUCAAAAGCUCAAAAGCCCUGGGAUUUUCCAUUCUUCCUAUCUGUCAUUGUGAAGACACGCACACACUCAUUAACACCACAUUAUUAUCACUCUCACACCUGUCAGGAUGACAGCAGCCAACAUCCACUGAGUGGUUACUCCCUGGCACUGCGUAGUCCAGCACUUCAUAAACUUUAUUUUCAUUUCAUCUUCACACCAACUACAUAAGCAUAAAAACAAGAUAAAAAUUGUGCAGAGCUGCUCUAUCCCACAAUAAAGAUUGAACAAUAAGCUGGAGUGUAUUUACCUCAUGGCAUAUCUGCUAGAAACUUGGGAUUGGCAAAUGGAGAUGAGAAGAGAAUCAGAAGGGUGAGAACCCCAAUAUCUCUUUUUCCUCUAAGGUUUCUAAAUUCAACUAUUUGAAUCAGGGGCUCCAGCUAGAUCUAUUCUUUUUAUUUUAAUUUAAUUUUUUUGAGACAGAGCCUCCCUGUGUCACCCAGGCUGGAGUGCAGUGGCACGAUCUCAGCUCACUGCAACCUCAGCCUCCCAAGUUGCUGGGAUUGCCUGCCUUGGCCUCCCAAAGGGCUGAGAUUGCAGGUGUGAGCCACUGUGCCCAGCCUGGAUCUACUCUAACUGCGUAAGUGACAAAACCCUAAUGGCCCCCAGGCUUACUUACCGGAACCUGCCACUUACUGGCCUCAGGGCCUUCAAGACUUCCUGGAUAUCAGCAGCCAGUAUCACCACUGGUUCCUGGAGUACAACCAACUCCCUGAAAAGUAAUAUUAUUGAAAAAGAAAAAUAGAAAUAAAAGGAAAA
rnacentral:lncRNA from 1 species